CCUGUCAACCCCGCUCGCCGGUGGUGCGCCGUGUCCCCAGGACGUUCUAUUGGAUUCGCGAUUCGGCGUGACCCUGCACUCCAGUUCGCUAUUUUUCACUCAUUCCGGUCGGUUCCUCGCGUCCGAGGAAGGGGAUAAAUCAUCACCGCUGAGCAACCUCGCCGGAGCAGCGGGCAGCUUCGAGAAGGUAAGGGUGGGGCAUAAGAGGCAGACGCUGGUGGCGAUGGCCUCCUCGUCGACCGCGGCGGUGGAGUCGGCCGCUUCAGGUCGCUGGAGACGGGGGUGCGAGCGUGGAUGGAGAAGCUGCCCACCCACAUCGAGGCCACGGUGUUCGGGGCCGUGCAGAGUGGCGCGCUCGGCGGGCUGAUGCGCACGUUCACGCCGGAAAUAUCGGCAGACGGCUCUCCGUGCCGUAGGCGCCGCCCAGGCUCAACUCCAUGGCCCUGCCAUCCUUGGAGCAAGUGCAGGUUCCCUCCUCCUCAUGUAUAGUUCCCCUCUUGUUACAGAUUUACACGGGGACUAUCAAUUUUUGUAAUUCCUGUGAUACUUUUGUCAAAGAUUGCAAAUGCUUUUGAGUUCAGUCCCAGUGACGAAUUUGUUCUCACAUAUACCGAUGAUGAUGCAAUUGAUUAUUUCUUGUUCCUUGUUCAUAGCUUGUUCAGCCAGUAGGUGCAAUCGAAUUAUUAUUUGUUAAUGUCCAAACUAAAAUCAGUAGUUAGUAUCUCAUUUAGAGAUGUAUUAUGUUUUCAUGACUGAUGCACCGUAUAAGCUGACUCUAAUUCAUGAAAUCUCCAUUGCAAGUUGUAGAGAAGCAGUAAGUUACUCUCAUCAGCUAGGCAUCAAGCAGAUUACAGCCCAUUGCAAGUUAUGGAGAAGCAGUAAGUUACUCUCAUCAGCUAGGCAUCGAGCAGAUUCAGUCCAUUGCAAGGUUUGCAGCUGGGAGAAUCCCAGAGAUUUAGAGUACCGCUUCAACAAGUUUCCGCUGAUUCAGCUGUAGUACCAAACUUUUUUGAUGGAUUCUGUUGGUUAAAUGUAUUAUGGAGAGCUUCCGCCUCCCUGUGGUGAUUCAGCUGGAUUUCCGUUGAACGGUUGAGGAAAGGCUCGUCGAGUCUCCAAUGGUUUUCUUUUCCAAGCGCCAGAUGCUCGCCGAUAUGGGUCGUGUGGAAGAAAAUUGUCCAAGCGCCCGACAAUUGAUUAAAUCUGUGCAGCAGAGCAGAAGGGAUGUGGGUCACGGCAUUGUGCUAGUGUUGCACUGCAGAAGAGGAGAUAACUUAACUCGAUGCAUAUCUGUCAUGAGGAGAAGAGAGAGGAAGCCUGUUAUUGUGAUUUUGCUUCAAUUGGAUUCCGACCAAGGUCAGAGUUCAUCAGGUACUGCGGAAAAAAAUCGGCUUAGCGCCCGACUCAACUUUUCGCAUCGACACACUAAAUCUUGAGAUCGAUUGGGGUUUUGGUAUAACUACAAGGAAAAGGAUCCUAGCACCUGGAUUAAGUGCCUACAUUGUAGAUGUCCUAAGCCAUGGUGCUGCACCAGUCAAAGGUGUUAGUUCUCAGUCUCCCACCAAUCUGGUCCUCAUGCUGACGUGCACCAGUCCCUGGCUGCAGCCGAUGCACUGCUUGAGUGCUUGGUAGUGCGCGCGGAGUAUGCAUCGAAGGCUGCUUCCGCCUGAAGAGAGUGGUCAAUCCAACUCGAUCACCAAGUGCUAAAAGCAGAAAUACAAAUAUGAACUACAAAGGCAGUGCUCCCUGUCCACAGUACUGAUUUCUUUGUGGCCUCUUCAUAUCUGGAUAAUAAUUUGUUAAACUCUUACUCUUCCAUGUGUGCAUGACACAUGGCUGAUAGCAAGAAGCUAUAUGUAUACGCUUAUUUACUGAGUGUUUAUUUUACAUGUACAUAUCUAAGGAAGCAAUAGUAGUGGCUGUUAAAAGUUGUAUCUA